GAAGGUGGCGAGCGUUACCCGGAUUGAUUGGGCGUAAAGGGGUCCGCAGGGCGGGUUUUAAAAAGUUCUUGGGUCAAAUCUUGAGGCUCAACUUCAAGACUGCCCACGAAUACUUUUAAACUAGAGACCGGAAGAGGCAAGCGGAAUUGCCGGUGUAGUAGUUAAAUGCGUUGAUAUCGGUAGGAACACCAAAAGCGAAGGCAGCUUGCUAGAACGGUUCUGACGCUCAGGGACGAAAGCGUGGGUAGCGAAUGGGAUUAGAUACCCCAGUAGUCCACGCCGUAAACGUUGGGUACUAAGCAUUAGGAGUAUCGACCCUCUUAGUGCUGUUUAACUAAGCUAACGCCUUAAGUACCCCGCCUGGGAAGUACGGCCGCAAGGCUA
rnacentral:rRNA from 1 species